CCCUUAGAUGUUCUGGGCCGCACGCGCGCUACACUGACGAAUGCAACGAGCUUAUAACCUUGGCCGAAAGGUCUGGGUAAUCUCCAAAUUUCGUCGUGAUGGGGAUAGAUUAUUGCAAUUAUUAAUCUUCAACGAGGAAUGCCUAGUAAGCGCAAGUCAUCAGCUUGCGUUGAUUACGUCCCUGCCCAUUGUACACACCGCCCGUCGCUCCUACCGAUUGAAUGGUCCGGUGAAGCGUUCGGACCGUGGCCUUUGGACGGUUCGCCGUCUGUUGGCUGCGGGAAGUUCGUUAAACCUUAUCAUUUAGAGGAAGGAGAANUCGUAACA
rnacentral:rRNA from 1 species